AAUUCUGUGACUUAGGUGUGGGUGGAUCUUAUUUAGGAAGACUAAAGCUAUGGACACAACACGUGAAAGAACCACUCAGAAGCAGCCCUAGGAAGCCCAGGUGAAAGCAGCCAGGCAGGCGUGGGCAUUGUACAACCAGCCUCAGGCCUCAGUUCUUGAUUGUGGUUGACGGGGCGUCACCAUGAAGGAGCCCAUUUAGU
rnacentral:lncRNA from 1 species